rnacentral:rRNA from 1 species
UGGGGAAUAUUGGACAAUGGGCGAAAGCCUGAUCCAGCCAUGCCGCGUGUGUGAAGAAGGUCUUCGGAUUGUAAAGCACUUUAAGUUGGGAGGAAGGGCAUUAACCUAAUACGUUAGUGUUUUGACGUUACCGACAGAAUAAGCACCGGCUAACUCUGUGCCAGCAGCCGCGGUAAUACAGAGGGUGCAAGCGUUAAUCGGAAUUACUGGGCGUAAAGCGCGCGUAGGUGGGUUGGUAAGUUGGAUGUGAAAUCCCCGGGCUCAACCUGGGAACUGCAUUCAAAACUGACUGACUAGAGUAUGGUAGAGGGUGGUGGAAUUUCCUGUGUAGCGGUGAAAUGCGUAGAUAUAGGAAGGAACACCAGUGGCGAAGGCGACCACCUGGACUAAUACUGACACUGAGGUGCGAAAGCGUGGGGAGCAAACA